rnacentral:rRNA from 1 species
UAGUCCACGCCGUAAACGAUGGAUACUAGCUGUCCGAGGCCUUGAGUCUUGGGCGGCCAAGCGAAAGUGAUAAGUAUCCCACCUGGGGAGUACGUUCGCAAGAAUGAAACUCAAAGGAAUUGACGGGGGCCCGCACAAGCGGUGGAGCAUGUGGUUUAAUUCGAUGAUACGCGAGGAACCUUACCAGGGCUUAAAUGCAUAUUGACAGGUCUAGGGAUAGAUUUUCCUUCGGGCAAUUUGCAAGGUGCUGCAUGGUUGUCGUCAGCUCGUGCCGUGAGGUGUCAGGUUAAGUCCUAUAACGAGCGCAACCCCUGUUGUUAGUUGCCAGCGAGUCAAGUCGGGAACUCUAGCAAGACUGCCGGUGCAAACCGCGAGGAAGGUGGGGAUGACGUCAAAUCAUCACGGCCCUUACGUCCUGGGCCACACACGUGCUACAAUGGUAGGUACAAUGAGCAGCCACUGCGCGAGCAGGAGCGAAUCUAAAAAACCUAUCUCAGUUCGG